GCGCCAUGUUGCGACGUUUGCACACGUGUCUUCCAUAAGGAGAGACUGCAAAGAAUCCGUAUGUUAUUUGACAUGUAAGAUUUCUAUUUGUAAAGUGGGUCCGUGGAAUCCAUUAUCGUCCAUGAAGUUUCCGUUUAAAACGAUUACAGUAUUGGCCAGUUCCUCCUGAGAAACUCCUCCUGGUGCCUUCCAGUCUUCAGUUCUGAGCUCCUAAUACAGGACUUUGCACAG